CAUAAUGCGUACCCCUUAACAUAAUCGAUUGCCUCAUCAGAAUCUAUCGCUAAGUCCAAGGUUGUGAAUUUGACCAUUAUCGUAUAACCUUCCUCAACUGUGAUGAUGUACUAAAAAUUUUGAUUAUUGCAAUAGUCUGAUGGAUAAUUCGUUGAUGUAAAACUUCCUACUGGUCCAUUAAAAGUUCCUCCACACGUACCUGUGCUAUCA
rnacentral:lncRNA from 1 species